rnacentral:rRNA from 1 species
UACGGAGGGUGCGAGCGUUGUCCGGAAUCACUGGGCGUAAAGGGCGCGUAGGCGGCCUGAUAAGUAGGGGGUGAAAUCCUGCGGCUUAACCGCAGGGCUGCCUUCUAAACUGUCAGGCUAGAGCACAGUAGAGGCAGGUGGAAUUCCCGGUGUAGCGGUGGAAUGCGUAGAGAUCGGGAAGAACAUCAGUGGCGAAAGCGGCUCACUGGACCACAACUGACGCUGAGGCGCGAAAGCUAGGGGAGCAAACAGG